AGUCGAGCGGAUGAAGGUAGCUUGCUACCGGAUUCAGCGGCGGACGGGUGAGUAAUGCUUAGGAAUCUGCCUAUUAGUGGGGGACAACGUUCCGAAAGGAGCGCUAAUACCGCAUACGUCCUACGGGAGAAAGCAGGGGACCUUUGGGCCUUGCGCUAAUAGAUGAGCCUAAGUCGGAUUAGCUAGUUGGUAGGGNUAAAGGCCUACCAAGGCGACGAUCUGUAGCGGGUCUGAGAGGAUGAUCCGCCACACUGNNACUGAGACACGGCCCAGACUCCUACGGGAGGCAGCAGUGGGGAAUAUUGGACAAUGGGGGGAACCCUGAUCCAGCCAUGCGCGUGUGUGAAGAAGGCCUUUUGGUUGUAAAGCACUUUAAGCGAGGAGGAGGCUACCUAGAUUAAUACUUUAGGAUAGUGGACGUUACUCGCAGAAUAAGCACCGGCUAACUCUGUGCCAGCAGCCGCGGUAAUACAGAGGGUGCGAGCGUUAAUCGGAUUUACUGGGCGUAAAGCGUGCGUAGGCGGCCAAUUAAGUCAAAUGUGAAAUCCCCGAGCUUAACUUGGGAAUUGCAUUCGAUACUGGUUGGCUAGAGUAUGGGAGAGGAUGGUAGAAUUCCAGGUGUAGCGGUGAAAUGCGUAGAGAUCUGNAGGAAUACCGAUGGCGAAGGCAGCCAUCUGGCCUAAUACUGACGCUGAGGUACGAAAGCAUGGGGAGCAAACAGGAUUAGAUACCCUGGUAGUCCAUGCCGUAAACGAUGUCUACUAGCCGUUGGGGCCCUGAGGCUUUAGUGGCGCAGCUAACGCGAUAAGUAGACCGCCUGGGGAGUACGGUCGCAAGACUAAAACUCAAAUGAAUUGACGGGGGCCCGCACAAGCGGUGGAGCAUGUGGUUUAAUUCGAUGCAACGUGAAGAGCCUUACCUGGCUUUG
rnacentral:sRNA from 1 species